rnacentral:rRNA from 1 species
ACGCUAGCGGCAGGCCUAACACAUGCAAGUCGAGGGGUAGAAAGAGCUUGCUUUUUUGAGACCGGCGCACGGGUGAGUAACGCGUAUGCAACCUACCUUAUACAGGGGAAUAGCCCGAAGAAAUUCGGAUUAAUGCUCCAUGGUUUAUCGAUAUGGCAUCGUAUUGAUAAUAAAGAUUUAUCGGUAUAAGAUGGGCAUGCGUAUCAUUAGCUAGUUGGUGUGGUAACGGCAUACCAAGGCAACGAUGAUUAGGGGUCCUGAGAGGGAGAUCCCCCACACUGGUACUGAGACACGGACCAGACUCCUACGGGAGGCAGCAGUGAGGAAUAUUGGUCAAUGGAGGCAACUCUGAACCAGCCAUGCCGCGUGCAGGAUGACGGUCCUAUGGAUUGUAAACUGCUUUUGUACAGGAAGAAACCUCCCUACGAGUAGGGACUUGACGGUACUGUAAGAAUAAGGAUCGGCUAACUCCGUGCCAGCAGCCGCGGUAAUACGGAGGAUCCGAGCGUUAUCCGGAAUUAUUGGGUUUAAAGGGUUCGUAGGCGGUUUUAUAAGUCAGUGGUGAAAUUUCUUAGCUUAACUAAGACACUGCCAUUGAUACUGUUUAACUUGAAUAGUAUGGAAGUAACUAGAAUAUGUAGUGUAGCGGUGAAAUGCUUAGAUAUUACAUGGAAUACCAAUUGCGAAGGCAGGUUACUACGUACUUAUUGACGCUGAUGAACGAAAGCGUGGGGAGCGAACAGGAUUAGAUACCCUGGUAGUCCACGCCGUAAACGAUGGAUACUAGCUGUUCGGUUUUCGGACUGAGUGGCUAAGCGAAAGUGAUAAGUAUCCCACCUGGGGAGUACGUUCGCAAGAAUGAAACUCAAAGGAAUUGACGGGGGCCCGCACAAGCGGUGGAGCAUGUGGUUUAAUUCGAUGAUACGCGAGGAACCUUACCAGGCUUAAAUGUAGAUUGACAGAUUUGGAAACAGAUUUUUCUUCGGACAAUUUACAAGGUGCUGCAUGGUUGUCGUCAGCUCGUGCCGUGAGGUGUCAGGUUAAGUCCUAUAACGAGCGCAACCCCUAUUGUUAGUUACCAGCGCGUAGUGGCGGGGACUCUAGCAAGAACUGCCGGGUGCA